AGAGUUUGAUCAUGGCUCAGAUUGAACGCUGGCGGCAGGCCUAACACAUGCAAGUCGAGCGGUAGCACAGAGAGCUUGCUCUCGGGUGACGAGCGGCGGACGGGUGAGUAAUGUCUGGGAAACUGCCUGAUGGAGGGGGAUAACUACUGGAAACGGUAGCUAAUACCGCAUAACGUCGCAAGACCAAAGUGGGGGACCUUCGGGCCUCAUGCCAUCAGAUGUGCCCAGAUGGGAUUAGCUAGUAGGUGGGGUAAUGGCUCACCUAGGCGACGAUCCCUAGCUGGUCUGAGAGGAUGACCAGCCACACUGGAACUGAGACACGGUCCAGACUCCUACGGGAGGCAGCAG
rnacentral:rRNA from 1 species